rnacentral:misc_RNA from 1 species
AAGUCGUAACAAGGUUUCCGUAGGUGAACCUGCGGAAGGAUCAUUAACACGUAUCCAAAUGUUAAAACCACCCCCGUGAAGCGUAGUUCGCAAUCUCUGAUAAAUCAUAGCCCGGAAAGUUGUAGUGAUUCAGAGGCCUCUGGCUACGUGCGAACAUUGGAACAGUUACAAUCGAGCAGUAGUUCUAUAGGCAAUGUUUCCCCAAGCAGUCAGUGUCGGAAAGUGUCAUUGAUUGUGCAAGGAUAGCGCUUCUACAAUUCCUGUAGACCGUACAGUCGGGCAGGAGCUUUGCCAAAGGGUCCCCAUGAUGCUCACAUUGGGUAAAAAAACCGAACAACUGUUAACAAUGGAUAUCUUGGUUCUC